GGCGCGCGGAGGCGGCCGCGGAGACGCCUCCCCGGCGGGCCGGGAGGGAGUCGCGCGGGAACAACUGUCAACACCUAGUUCUGCCAGAGUCUUAUCGCAUCCGAAUUGCCUCCGCACACCCGAGGGCGGCUUCGGGAUUCGAGCCCACCGCCGCCCGCCCGUGAUCUACUGAGGCGUGGUCUGGACCGGUCUUGCAGGGCCCUGCCUAACCUGAGAAGACUGCACAAUAGAGCUCACUGGUCCGAGGAACUCUCCCCGCCUACCCCUGGUGAUGAGAGGAAAAGAAUAGAAAUGCCAAUGGCCAGAGGAAAGAAAGUAACAAUACAGAAAUGAAGGAAGUAGAAAAGCAGAAAGAUCAUAAUCAAACCCUAACCAUGCAAGCACAUGAGAAAGUUUUCUCAGUUUUGAAUGAUAUUCACAUUGGAAACAAACAGCCAGGAUUAUGCAAAUUAUUGUCUGACUACCUAGAACUCCUAUCAAACACACUCAAAAAAAAAAAGUCAAUGCAAGUUCAUGAAAGUGAAGAUAUUAUGGGACAACAAAUAACACUGGUACCCAAAGGUGACAAGGUGAAGAAAGAAGACACCUAUCCUAUAUUCCAGUAAUGUCUGUCCAAUGCAUUCUUGUCAGGUUCAUCCCUCUGUUCUAAGCCCUGUUGAUAUUUUCCCUUAGUUGUUUUCUGUCAAUACCCAUGGGAGCCUAACUUUUGCCUGCUAUUAUAUGCACAGACAGCUGAGACCAGACUCCCAAUCCAAUUCUGCCACCGGUUUCCUUUAACCCUUAAUCCCUAUAACACCCUCCUGGAAAUGGAGUGGAGUUGGGAUACAUCUAUUUAUGAUUUCAUUUUUAAAUGUCAGCUCCUUUCCAGAGAUGGCCAAAUACUUCACUGCUUGUGGUCCUACGGUGUUGAUUACUUCUGACUAUCUUUUGCUGUCAGCCAAUAGUCUUGGACCUGACAUUGUUUGCAUCCCAACCCCUCCUUCCUGAAGUUAUUACAAAAGUAGUACACCAUGAAGACAAUUAUCUCAACGAAGAACAGGGAAAAUUACAGAGGAAAAUGACCUUUAUGCCAAAAUAAGGUCAAGAAAAAAAGGAAGUUACUAUUAAUGUAUUAAAAUAGAGUCACUCGAGAUAUCAACCAAAUGCAAUGCGUGGACCUCUUUUAGAUUCUGAUUCAAAGCACUUUUACAAAAGACAUUAAUGAGACAACCAGGGAAAUAUUAAUACUAGUUGGAUAUUACCUGAUAUCAAGGAAUUAUUGUUAAUUGUUUUAGAUAUGAUAAUGAUAUUUGAUUAUGGUGUUUUUAAAUGUCUCAUUAUCUAGAGACACAUGCUAUAUAAUUGGGCCCAUGCUUUAGGGAAAAAAAAAUCCUUCAUAUUAUGUCACUUUCUUUUCUUUACCUGUAGGUCAAAUCCAUGGGCAUGUACUCUACACCUACUACUUGUUAUUUUCUACCUGUAAGAUAGUAAUCAUUUCCUCUUUGUCUUGUCUAUGAUUAUUUUUUGGUAAAAGUAUUCAAGUCAAAAGCAACUCAUGCAAUCUGUUAUUUGCUCCAAACCUCUGUUAAGCCAUGGUGAAAGGCCAAACAUCAUAUGAACUGUGGUAAAUAAAUCUGAUUAAGCACGUUA